UCAUCACAAAAUAAAAGACCCAUCUUGGUAGACCUACAUCCAUCUUCUCUUUUUUUUUUUUUUUCUUUUUGUUUUCU
rnacentral:ribozyme from 14 species